UUUGAUUUUGACAUCCAUUUUGGGCAGAAACAAUUAUUUAAAGUUGGUAACUUGUAAGAGUUUUAAAUUGUGUUUUCAGUUAUAUUGAUAUAGUGGACUGACACCGAAAGACGAUAAAUUGAAAUCAGACUACAAGAUAUUUAUAUGAGCUGAAAUUCAAAGAUUACAAGCUAAAAUUGAUGGCUACAAGUUACAACUAGAUGAAAUAUGUUAUUUAAGAGAUUCAUAUGGUGGUGAUAUAUAUUGUUCUCCUGACUUAUUUUGUGAAUAUCGAACCAUCAAACUACUUUUACGAGUUAGGGAGAGAGAACUUGAAAUAUG
rnacentral:misc_RNA from 1 species